CAACCCUCAAGCCCUGCUUGUUGUUGGGCCCCGCCGCGUGGCCGGCCCCAAAGACAGUGGCGGCGCCGCCCGGUCCUGAGCGCAGUACAGCUCUCGCUCCAGGGUCGUGCGGUAGCCUGCCAGAACCCCAACUCUGU
rnacentral:misc_RNA from 1 species